AGCUGACGUCACGCCCAGACGUCCCAAGGUAUGAGCUGUAGAUACGCACGUGAGCGCUGGUGGGAGACGCCAGGCUGGGAUUUCCGCUCGAUCUGGGAAUGAGCAAUGCAACCUAAUGACACCCAGAGCUCCUGAAUCACCCGAGGAAAAUGACGAGAGACUCCCUCCGGUGGGAACGUCUCCUAGAAACAAGGCCUAAGAUGGGGCGACAACAGCCCCACAGCUGUGUCCAGAUGCAGGGAGCACUCGCCUGUGCUGUAAGUCUGUCCCACAGUGGAGAAAAGGCUCAGACCCCACGGCUCUGCUGUCCACCCUCAGUGCGGGGGAGAGGGGGGAUCCAUAUCGGCAGUCAAGGAGCGGGAAUCUGAAAAGGCCAAGGCUGAACCCUGCACAGAACCCAGACCUCCGUGUGCCUCCAGAAACAGCCGAGGCUGGGCCUUCCUUGAGAUACUCUUCAACUUCAAGGCUCUUCUCACCUGAGCUCCUUGGAAGCUGUCCCAGACAGCUGCUGGUCCCUCCUCUGUCCCCACUGUGCAGAGUGUGGCCCCACUGGAGAGACUGUUUUUCCCCCCGUGUAUUGGAGUCAGUCACCCUCACCUGGAAGAAUGGGACUGUUGAAUUGAGGCAUCAUGGGUCACUUCCAUCCCAGAGCGUUUGAUUUGAGUGGUGAGGGACGGCCGGUGUCAUCGUUGGAGCUUCCUAAGAGUCCCAGAGGCUGAUGCACCUCCCAGACUCUCCUCGGCCCGGCUCCCUGGGCCCUGCUCCAGGGGCUUCAUUGCUCCCUGCCCCGGGUCACCCCUCGGCUCACCGUCUCUCAGGUGUGGAAUAUCCUGCUCCAAUCAAAGCCAUGUCACCUGCGUUGUCCAGUGAAACAUCAGUGGACAGGCGCUGCCCGGGCUCCAGGGAGCUCCUCACUGAGGCUCACUCCCUGUGCCUCUGCCAUCAGCACAGGGGGACAUGCCUGGCUGCCUGUGGGACCAGGGAGGACGCGCGGUGCGGGAGCAGAGCCAGCCACACUGCCGCUGCUGCACUGUUCAUCUGAGUGGCGCAAGAUUCAGUGCCUGCGUCAUAGAAGGGUCCGUGUCAGUAAGGAAGUGAAAAGCAAGAUGGAAUACUGGAACUCUCCUGGCAGAUUGUCUGAAGUCAAUGUGUUUUCUGGUUAUGUGUUUCAGCUGCGAGUUUUUCAAAUUGUUGCAAAUCUUCAAACAUUUUUCCAACAAAUUUACUGAAAAAAAUCCACAUAUAAGUGGCACCCCCACCAGUUUAAACCUGUGUUGUUCAAGAGUCAGCUAUUUUUAUGAGGUGUUUUCAAAAGUUUAUGGAAAAUGAAUCUUAUGAAUAAAACUAUGCAUGGAUUUCAAAUCUUUUGCACCAAAAUAAACUCAUACUAACUUGUUAUAAAAUGUCUGAGUUUUAUACAGUUUAGUUUGAGACACUAAGAAAGAUAAGACAUCAGUUUGGAAAGGGUCAUCAGAGCAACGUGAAUUAUGCAAAACUGAAGCAAAAACAAACACCAAAUUUAUGGUGAAGGUUAGGUAGAGGAAUGGUGAAGUCAUUGAUGCUUUCUAAACAGUUUAGGUGGAUAAUGCCCCACAGAAAGCAGCCAUUUACAAAUGGUUACGCCAUUUUAAGAAGGAACAGGAUGAUGUUGAACAUGAAGCCUGCAGCAGCAGACCACAUCAAUUUGAGAGGAAAAAAUUAAUCUUGCUUAUGCCCUAGUUGAAGAGGACUGGUGCUUAGCAGCACAAACAAUAGCCAACACCAUAGACACCUCAAUUGGUUCAGCUUUCCCAAUCCUGGCCAAAAAAUUAAAGUUGAGCAAAUUUUCUACGUAAUGAGUGCCCAAACUUGCACCCAGAUCAGUUGCCAACCAGGGCAGAGCUUUCAAUGGAAAUUUUAAGCAAGAGGGGGAUGAAGAUCUUGAAGCAUUGCUUUGAAGAAUUGUAACAGGAGAUGAAACAUGGCUUUGCUAGUACCAUUCUGGAGACACAAUCAAAGCAAUGGCUACCAAGAGGUGGAAGUGCUGCAGUCACAGCAAACGUGGCCACCCAAGAGCAAAGGUCAUGGCAACAAUUUUGGGGAAUGUUCAAGGCAUUUUGUCUGUUGACUUUCUGGAGGGCCAAAGAACAAUAACAGCUGCUUAUUAUGAGAGUGUUUUGAGAAAGUU
rnacentral:lncRNA from 1 species